GUAGUCCUAGCGGUAAACGAUGGGUACUAGGUGUCGGGGGUAUCGACCCCCUCGGUGCCGAAGUUAACGCAUUAAGUACCCCGCCUGGGGAGUACGACCGCAAGGUUGAAACUCAAAGAAAUUGACGGGGGCCCGCACAAGCGGUGGAGUAUGUGGUUUAAUUCGAGGCAACGCGAAGAACCUUACCUGGGCUUGACAUGUUUGAGACCGCUGGUGAAAGCCAGCUUUCCCUUCGGGGACUCUUGCACAGGUGCUGCAUGGCUGUCGUCAGCUCGUGCCGUGAGGUGUUGGGUUAAGUCCCGCAACGAGCGCAACCCUUGUCCAUAGUUGCCAUCAGGUAACGCUGGGGACUCUAUGGAGACUGCCGGUGAUAAGCUGGA
rnacentral:rRNA from 1 species